rnacentral:tRNA from 2 species
GGGCGAGUGGCGGAAUGGCAGACGCGCCAGGCUUAGGACCUGGUGCCGCGUGAGCGGCGUGUCGGUUCGACCCCGACCUUGCCCACCA